CUUCGGGCUCUUCUUGCGCAGCUUAGGUGGAAGGCUGAGAAAGGCAAUUCCGGUUGUCUGGAGCCAUCAGUGAGAUACCACUCUGGGAGAGCUAGGAGUCUAAUGGCGUUCCUUGAAUCAGGACGCUUGACAGUUUCAGGUGGGCAGUUUUACUGGGGCGGUAGCCUCCUAAAAGGUAACGGAGGCGUGCAAAGGUUCCCUCAGGCUGGACGGAAAUCAGCCAUAGAGUGUAAAGGCAGAAGGGAGCUUGACUGCAAGACCUACAAGUCGAGCAGGGACGAAAGUCGGCCUUAGUGAUCCGACGGUGCCGUGUGGAAGGGCCGUCGCUCAACGGAUAAAAGUUACUCUAGGGAUAACA
rnacentral:rRNA from 1 species